rnacentral:rRNA from 1 species
AUGGCUCUCACUUGGCUAUGGGUUAUUGUCCAUUAUAUGUCAUUUGCCCAUCUUGCCAUGUUCACUUUGCAUGAUAUGCUCAUUCCUAUGCCUUUGACAUGCAUUUGUGACCCAUGCUUUGCAUUACACAUGAUGAUUGAUUCUAGUACUUGUAUGUGUAUUUGCAAGCUUGGUGGAGAUAUCACUUGUUAUUGCCAUGUUUGCUUUGUGCCCCGUGCCUAUGAUGAUACUAUGAUCUUGCUUUGUGUUCGCGCUUGCGAUAUGUCUUGUGCAUUGCCUAUGCCUAUUAUUUGCUCACAUGACAUGAUUCCCAUGAUUUCCUCUAGUAUGUUGCAUCUUCGCACUACUAGCUUGCACGACUUCAUUACUAUGCUUGCUUAUGUUGCAUCACCGAUGAUCCAUACUUGCUACUUUCAUGCGGUUGAUGACAACCAUCUACAUGCUUUGCACAUGAUUGUUAUUGCUUCUUGUCAUAUCUCUCCAUAUGUUGCCUCCCUCAUGCUUGAUGAUUUGACAUGUAUUGAGUGCAACAAUUCCUUUAGUCUUGAUAAUGAGUUUGCCCCCAUAGCAUUCUCACAUAUAAUUGGAGAUUUUGACAUAUUCCUUGUGAAGCAUGCUUGUCUUACCUCUUUGCACCAUAUACCUCGUGCCAUGAAUAUAGCCAUUGUCGCAUCAUAUUAUUCAUGCACUUGUGCUUCUAAUGGUUAUGUGCAAAAGAAGAGAACCAUCAUGAUGGAUGAUGUGUUUAUCUACCAUGCGCAUAUGUUCUUUCUUUUGUUGUGUGCAUGUGUAGGAUACUUGGACUUUGUGUCGACUUCCGCUUCACGUGAGUUGACCAUUCGAGCUCUUGAGAGCGAGCCUCAUACAUUCGACCACGACUCGUUUCUACACCACCUUUCCUACCACUUCGGCAUUGUGAAGAAUGCACAAGGACACGCCGUCAAGGUGAUAUCUUUCUUGAGCAUGGAUAUUGCGGAUCAUACUACUUGUGUUGCUUGCACCAUGGGACUUAUUGUUCAUCUUGGACCACUUGAUUGCACACUUGUUAGAUAUCUUGCUUCGACUUGUCAUUUUCACCGUCCCAUGCAUCAUGAUGUAUGUGCCUAG